AUGUGCCUAGCCGCGUGCGGCGGGCCCGUCCUUCAGCUCGUAAAGCCUGUUCGGCGAUGGUGCUUCCCUGGAUUUGGUGAAGAUGGAGGCCGAGCUUCUCUUUCGGCGACGCUGGAGGUCGGCGACGGCCAAUGGAUUUGGUGGUUGGCAUUUGUUCCCCACAUGUUUCUUGUCGGUGCCGUGUGUGUGCUUCUUUGUACCCUCGUUGUAUGA
rnacentral:rRNA from 1 species